rnacentral:rRNA from 1 species
UACGGAGGAUGCAAGCGUUAUCCGGAUUCAUUGGGUUUAAAGGGUGCGCAGGCGGAGAGAUAAGUCAGUGGUGAAAAACUGCCGCUCAACGGUAGUCUUGCCAUUGAUACUGUCUUUCUUGAGUAUGGAUGAGGUAGGCGGAAUGUGCAGUGUAGCGGUGAAAUGCAUAGAUAUUGCACGGAACACCAAUUGCGAAGGCAGCUUACUGGACCAUUACUGACGCUCAGGCACGAAAGCGUGGGGAGCAAA